rfam:Citrus sinensis cultivar Ridge Pineapple sweet orange scaffold00112_contig_20, whole genome shotgun sequence.
UACCCAUGAUGUGGACACUUCAAGAGUAGCCCAUUGAAUCGCUCCCAUGUUUCAAAAAACUGCUCGUCUUCUCUCUGAGUAA